ACUCCAGCGGUCAAAGUGCGAGUGGCGAACGGGUGAGUAACACGUGGGCAAUCUGCCCGAAAGUGGGGGAUAACACUUGGAAACAGGUGCUAAUACCGCAUCAACCGGCUGACCGCAUGGUCGGCCGGGCAAAGACGGCGUCAGCUGUCGCUUUUGGAUGAGCCCGCGGCGUAUUAACUAGUUGGUAAGGUAACGGCUUACCAAGGUGAUGAUACGUAGCCGAACUGAGAGGUUGAUCGGCCACAUUGGGACUGAGACACGGCCCAAACUCCUACGGGAGGCAGCAGUAGGGAAUCUUCCACAAUGGACGCAAGUCUGAUGGAGCAACGCCGCGUGUAUGAAGAAGGUCUUCGGAUCGUAAAAUACUGUUGUCAGAGAAGAACACGUGAUAGAGUAACUGCUAUGGCGCUGACGGUAUCUGACCAGCAAGUCACGGCUAACUACGUGCCAGCAGCCGCGGUAAUAC
rnacentral:rRNA from 2 species